GACGAACGCUGGCGGCGCGCCUAACACAUGCAAGUCGAACGGAGUUGAGAGGAGCUUGCUUUUCUCAACUUAGUGGCGAACGGGUGAGUAACGCGUGAGUAACCUGCCCUGGAGUGGGGGACAACAGUUGGAAACGACAGCUAAUACCGCAUAAGCCCACGGUACCGCGUGGAACUGAGGGAAAAGGAUUUGUUCGCUUCAGGAUGGACUCGCGUCCAAUUAGCUAGUUGGUGAGGUAACGGCCCACCAAGGCGACGAUUGGUAGCCGGACUGAGAGGGUGAACGGCCACAUUGGGACUGAGACACGGCCCAGACUCCUACGGGAGGCAGCAGUGGGGGAUAUUGAACAAUGGGGGAAACCCUGAUGCAGCGACGCCGCGUGGAGGAAGAAGGUUUUCGGAUUGUAAAGUCCUGUCAUUAGGGACGAUAAUGACGGUACCUAACAAAAAAGCCCCGGCUAACUACGUGCCAGCAGCCGCCGUAA
rnacentral:rRNA from 1 species